rnacentral:ncRNA from 1 species
GUACGCGACGAACCUUACCGGGGCUCAACUACUAGCUGCAAGCCUGAUGAAAGUCGGGCCGCUUUUGAAGGUGCUAGAUAGGUGCUGCAUGGUUGCCGUCAGCUCGUGCCGUGAGGUGUACCCUUAAGUGGGGUAACGAGCGCAACCCUCGUUCUGUGUUAAAUUUACACAGAGGACUGCCUGCGCAAGCAGGAGGAAGGUGAGGACGACGUCAAAUCAGCAUGGCUCUUACGUCCCGGGCUACACGCAUGAUACAAUGGUUAGUACAGAGGGAAGCUAAGCCGCAAGGUGGAGCUAAUCCCAGAAAGCUAAUCUCAGUUCGGAUUGUGGGCUGCAACUCGCCCACAUGAAGCUGGAUUCACUAGUAAACGCGCAUCAGCCACGGCGCGUUGAAUACGUUCUCGGGUCUUGUACUCACAAUAAAAGCGCUGGGCAGUUUAAUAAUCUAGAGAGUUAAAAUCUCUCCCUCU